CAGUUAAAAACAAAUGUUACUUCGCUCACCAUGUGUAAACUGCUGAUUAGUAAAGGUAGUAUGUUUUACAACUAAACGACACCCAGUAAAGUCUGGCUGGCAUAGCUUCUGCGCCUGAAGUAGAUGAAGGGAUGGGUGUUAGUGUCAGUGUUGGCCGGCCACACUUCUAAAUUCUGAUGCGGUCGUUCGUCCCCUACACCCAUUUAUCAACUAAAUAAACCUAUAUACACACACCUACUGCACCCUCGGUUAUCCAGUGUUGGAGACCCUUGAUUGUCGGGGGUACUACUUCCGGUGUUAUGUGUUCAGUUUACCUGUAGUUUUACAGGAUUUACAAAUGUUCAAGCACGUGCUUUUCAGCAAUGGCCAGAAGUGAAUAUGGUGUGUUUAUCGUGACGUGCCUUCAAUAAGCCAGUUCUUUGUGUACAUAAAAUACAUAAAGGUAUGCUUUACAUGUAACUAUAGUCAAAUAUCUUAGACUAUUGAAAGAUGAGAUUUGUGAUAUUAAUGUGCACUGUGUAUAUGCUAAGUUUGACACCAACUACUGGUCGUGACGACUGUCUACUGGUAUCUACUGGUCUUAUGUCUAACAUUAUUACAAUUUGUAUAUAAAACACGCUUAAAUAUA